rnacentral:lncRNA from 1 species
GAAAGGCAUCACCCCAAGCCUCCACCACCAAUAAGCAGGAUCAGAGAAUGAAGAGGAUGGAAAAGCUCAAAAGGGAUCUCCAGAAGAUCAAAAAUGAGAGAGAUGGACUCCAGGGAAUCCUAGCCAAUUACACUAACAUUGAUUUGAACAACAGAAUCAAAAUUAGGACAUUCAUGCUCAAGAUGCAACAUGACCAGGUGAUGACUUACCUGAGGAGAAUGCCCCAGGACAUCAGUGAGGCCUUGUACAAGUACAAGGAGUUGACUAAAGAAAAUCAGUUCUACUAGUGAAUCUAACCAUCUCCAGCACAAAGUCAGGAUGUUGUGGAAGGAGAACAGACAGUUGCUAGAGGAGCAGAUUGCAUUAGAAAAUGCUCCAACGAAUCAAAGAGACUGUGUAAAGAAGGCAGCCUGAAAACCAAUGACCUGUGUACCAAGCAGCAGCAGGUAGGGUGCA